UGGGGAAUAUUGCACAAUGGGGGAAACCCUGAUGCAGCGACGCCGCGUGGAGGAAGAAGGUCUUCGGAUUGUAAACUCCUGUUGUUGAGGAAAAAGAGGAUGGUACUCAACAAGGAAGUGACGGCUAACUACGUGCCAGCAGCCGCGGUAAAACGUAGGUCACAAGCGUUGUCCGGAAUUACUGGGUGUAAAGGGAGCGCAGGCGGGUAUGCAAGUUGGGAGUGAAAUACAUGGGCUCAACCCAUGAACUGCUCUCAAAACUGUGUAUCUUGAGUAGUGCAGAGGUAGGCGGAAUUCCCGGUGUAGCGGUGGAAUGCGUAGAUAUCGGGAGGAACACCAGUGGCGAAGGCGGCCUACUGGGCACCAACUGACGCUGAGGCUCGAAAGUGUGGGUAGCAAACAGGAUUAGAUACCCUAGU
rnacentral:rRNA from 1 species